rfam:Helianthus annuus linkage group 1, whole genome shotgun sequence.
GGGCUAUGAUGAUCCCAUGUGAUAAGGUCUCGUUCGUCGUAACGGUGAUUAACAAUCACCUUGCCGACCAUACUGUUAUAUCACCACCCAUAAACUGAGUCC